UUGACCUCGGAUCAGGUAGGGAUACCCGCUGAACUUAAGCAUAUCAAUAAGCGGAGGAAAAGAAACCAACAGGGAUUGCCUCAGUAACGGCGAGUGAAGCGGCAACAGCUCAAAUUUGAAAUCUGGCUCCUUCGGGGUCCGAAUUGUAAUUUGUAGAGAGUGCUUCGGGCGAGACCUCGGUCUAAGUCCAUUGGAACAUGGUGUCAUAGAGGGUGAGAAUCCCGUAUGCGACCGUGGCUCGAGCCCAUGUGAAGCCUCUUCGACGAGUCGAGUUGUUUGGGAAUGCAGCUCAAAAUGGGUGGUAAAUUUCAUCUAAAGCUAAAUACUGGCUGGAGACCGAUAGCGCACAAGUAGAGUGAUCGAAAGAUGAAAAGCACUUUGGAAAGAGAGUCAAACAGUACGUGAAAUUGUUGAAAGGGAAGCGCUUGCAACCAGACCUGCCCGUAGGCGAUCCGCCGCUGUUCUCAGCGGUGUACUCGCUCUGCGAUCAGGCCAGCAUCGGUUUCGGCGGUCGGAUAAAGGCCUUGGGAAUGUAGCUUCCCCUCGGGGGAGUCUUAUAGCCCUCGGUGUAAUGCGGCCAGCUGGGACCGAGGACCGCGCUUCGGCUAGGAUGCUGGCGUAAUGGUUGUAAGCGACCCGUCUUGAAACACGGACCAAGGAGUCUAACAUCUAUGCGAGUGUUUGGGUGUCAAACCCAUACGCGAAAUGAAAGUGAACGGAGGUGAGAACCCUUAAGGGCGCAUCAUCGACCGAUCCAGAUGUCUUCGGAUGGAUUUGAGUAUGAGCAUAGCUGUUGGGACCCGAAAGAUGGUGAACUAUGCCUGAAUAGGGUGAAGCCAGAGGAAACUCUGGUGGAGGCUCGCAGCGGUUCUGACGUGCAA
rnacentral:rRNA from 2 species